rnacentral:lncRNA from 1 species
CCAUCUUACAUUUAAACACUUCAACUGAGACUUGUAUCGUUUAAACACCUGUAGUAGGGCCGUUGUGGCAUUUUGACCCCGAACCAAAACAUACCACGGUGAACAUGGAAGCACAACAAUAAGACACGAAUAACACUAGGUAGACCCUAUCGACAGACACCUAAAGUUGGCACCAUCUUCCACUAAGACACUUUAAUCGAGACUUGUAUCGUUUAAACACCUAUAGUAGGACCGUCAUGAAGAACAUGGAAGCACGACAAUAAGACACGAAUAACGCUAGGUUGAACAUAUCGACAGACACCUAAAGUUGACACCAUAUUCCACUUAGACGCUUCAACUCAGACUUGUACUGUUUAAACACCUGUAGUAGGGCCGUUGUGGCAUUUUGACCUCGAACCAAAACAUACCACGGUGAACAUGGAAGCACAACAAUAAGACACGAAUAACACUAG